AUUUUUUGUUUAGCAACAGAUUCCACAAGAUGGGCUUUGGGGGUGCUGUUUUGGCAUUGAUAGUGCAAGGUAUUAGAAGGUCCAUCUCAUUUCCUGUGCUUGUUAACCCCUGCAUGAAACCAUUGAGUGAGGCCAUCAGUAUGUUGUUGGCACCCAGUUCUACUUUCUUAUCUAAUUCAGGGGCAAAUACAUGUAUCCUGGCAGGUAUUGUAUAGGUUGUUGGCUGUAUUAAGGGUGAACAGUCCAGGUGAGAUGGUGGUUAUAUUUAACACCUUAUUAAGCCUUAAGAGUAGUAUUAGCCUGUGUACUUCUCCAAAAGAACAGGCUUGCAGCUUGGGGUUAUUUUUAGAUCACACAUUGUAUAAAAAGAUGCAGAACUGGCAUCUGUGGGUGGAUCGAACCUUUCCGGGGGAGGGAAGAGUAUAGGAUCCUCUGCUAGAGAUCAUGUGAGCUGCGUGGACAAAAGCCAUGUGAGAGGAAGACUACAAUAGGGAGGCUGAGGAUGAUGGAGGUCAGAAAUUCCCACAGGAAAACUGCAACAAGGAAGGAGAAUAGAGUGUCUCUUUUAAAAUCCUGGAUCCAGAAGAACCUGUUGAUAUACUUUUAUAUUUGUGAUUUUUUUUCUGUGAACUGCCUUAUGACAGAACAGACAUUUUCUAAAUACCUAAAUUAAAUCCUUUUUCUCACAACUCUGCUUUCCCCUUGGUGAUAUGAAAUAAAUACUAAUCAAGGGGAAAACACAUUUCCUCUUAACUGUCCUCAGAAUUAAUGUUCAUAGUGGGAAAAUGAUAUAUUCAGGUAUCAAAGCACUGAUUCUUCUGUGUAGUAGUUCACAAAGUUUUUAGGGUAGAAAGUUCUGUGCUUGUGUGUUAGACAUAAAAAUAUAGACAGUCCAGAAAGAAAGUGAGUUUACUGUGCUGUGCAUCUGUAUCAUACGUGAGCCAGGCUGCUAUAAUGCCUAAGACCAGGAAUACCACCCUUGAAUACCACACAUGAGCAAAUUAGUUAGCCAGGAAUCAGUAAGGAAGAAAAUUCUAUCUUGUAAUGAAGAUAGAGACUGAGUUAACUUAUAACAUUAAUUUUCCAAUUCUUUCCUGUGUACUUGCCCAAAUUCUUGAACAAUUAGUACAUGAGCGCUGAGUGAUUUAAUAUCUCUUACUAAACCUUGGUUUUCUAUGCUUCAUACCUGUUGAAUUUUGCCAUUUGAGACUUUGGUCAAAAUAAAAGCUUUUGCAUACAUGCAUACAGAUGAGAGGGGGAAAUAAUCAAUACAGUAACUUGAGACUUGGUAAUGGAAUAGUAAGAAUUCCACUGAGUGGUUUCACUGUGUGUACAGUUGCUUACAGGCAAUAGUCAACUUCCUUGUUACCUUGAGAAACAAGGUUAACAGAGUGGAUGCAUCAGUCGUCUCCCCUCCUUAGCCCCUGUUCCCUGUGCUUAGUGAGCACAACCUCUGCCCCUCUGAGCUGGAUGAACAUCCUCUGUCAUCUCCCAAAAUGAGACUUUUUGGAUGAGAGGCCCUGGGCACUUCUGUGUAGGGAAGAAAUUUGAUCAGGCACCUGGUGAAAGAAUCUCAUUCUACAGACAGCCAUUGAAUCACCCUUCAGGAUCCUACCUGAAUUGCCUUCCUCAGUGUUGGGCCCCUCUGCUUCUACUACCUCGCCUUUGCACUCUCGUGACUUUCAGUCCACCUCCUCUGCAGCAAGGAAGAUACUUCUGGGAUAUAAUCCAUUGUCCCUUAGUGGUACUUUGCCAGGUGGUUUUCCUUCCCCCUUCCAGACAGAUGUCACUGGCCGCAUUUAUUCCUCACGCACAUUUCCACCUCGCUUGGGUGCUAAUCCCCAGAACUCUGGAAAUAGCCGGGUUACAAAGGAAGCCAGGAGUGGAUUUUCAACUGACUUUGCUAUGGAGACUGACAGGCAGGGAGAUGGAAUGGGCAUAAACUCGCGCAGGAGUUUUGGUAUGCCAUAUGCUUGUCAGAGGAGUGGCUCUGGCCCCAUGUUUACCAGUCUUGGUGGGAGAUUGCCAAAUAUCCAGCCAGGGAUGGCAGAUCCUUUUGUUCUGGAUAAAUUGCUUCACACCUUCCAAACCAUGAGGUGUAGCGUUGACAACAUAAGCCAGGAGCUCAGAGUGGUAAAUACCCAUCUAGCCAAUCUCUCUCACCACUUUGCACUAGCCCAUCCCAGCCAUAGUCUGCAGCCUCGUGAUGAUGACCCACAUUACCACCCUUGAAGAGGUGCCCAGCAUUUUCAGGAUCUCAAAUCAGUAGCCUCAACUUCAUGAGAUUAGUCUUGAUUCACACCUUGUACACUUCUAUGCAGAGCGUUGCUAUGGAGGUUAAGUCACAUAGUUUCUUUAUCAAGUUCUUUCACCUGCUGCAGACUGCACCUUUGAGGGAUGAAGUGACUGAGACUUUGUAUAAACAUACAUAUUCGUCACCAUACAUAUUACUAGCUCCCAAAUAUGGACAAAUGCUUGAUAUAUCAUAUUAUGUGAACUUGUCUGUGAUCCUCACAUUACCAUCUUUUUGAGAGGACAAACCAAACCUAAUGUCACCUUCAGAGUUCCUGUUUUGCUUAUUGGGUCUUUGGCAAUAAAAGUAUAUUUUUAAAACAGCAGUCUUUUUGAAUAGCAGCAACUAUACCUUCAGUAUGUGUGAGAAGAAGGAUUUAUACCACACCUUUCUCUCCUGUAUAGAGACUCAAAGGGGCUUAUAUUCCUUUAUUUUCUCUCCCCACAACAGACAUCUUGUGAGGUAGGUGGGACUGAGAGUGUUUUGAAGAACUGUGACUAGGCCAAGGUCACCCAGCAGGAAUAUGUAGGAGCAGGGAAACCAAUGUGGUUCACCAGUUAAAACUUCGCCACUCAUGUGGCGGAACGGGGAAUAGAACCUGGUUCUCCAGAUUAGAGUUCACCUGCUCUCAACUACUACACAAUGCUAACUGCUUGUGAUGUAGUGUGCUGUUAAUCUCUUUAUGCUUUAUUUCAUGUGUUAUGAUGGAUAUUGCAGUCCAUUCCAAUCUGACGUGCAUAUUGAUUAUGCCUUCUGUUGGGAUAGUGAUUUGUGACUUUAUCCCCAUUAUGGGCUUCACUAUUUAAACUCACUAUCACAGGCACAAUGAAAGUCCACCCAAGCCCCUAAGCCACUUCAUUGUCUCAAAGAUAUAAAUACUGGGAGUAGGGGAGAGCUUAAUUUGAUGGGGCAAACCAAACACACAGAUAGCACAACAGUUGUGGAAAAAAAUUGGGAUGGUUCCCUGAGCUCUCUAAGUGUUCAGGAGAUUCCUGAAAAAGACUAGUGCUGAGAUGUUGAUGGCAGUCUCUCUCACCCAAGGGCAGUGUCAGGACUCCAGUUCAUCGGUUAGCUGACAUGAAUCUGGAUCUUUAAGGCACUUGAGUUGUUCCAGGAGACGUCACUCCUCUUAUCGAAGUCAGUCCCAUCCCUCUUUGUCACCACAGCCUGGUCUAUCUCAGGAAGUUCAAGUGGGAGAGGCACAGAGUUCUCCAUUGGUGACUGAGGUUAGUGGAAUACUUGAGCCCUCAUCCAUUGCUCUGGGACAGCCCAUUGGAUAGGUCCCAAGUCAUCGCUCCAGAAAGUCUCUCUCAAGUCGCUCUGACCCUAGGGAUUCUUGGCCUCUUGUUGCUCAACAUUGUGAGGAUCAGUGUCACUAUGAUCCACACCGCUCGAUCCAUCGUUCGAAGCAUCAUGCCUACAGUUGUAAUAGACCUUCAAUCAGCAAGCCUUCAAUGUCGUGGAUUGCCUUGAUGUUGGAGUCAGUGCCCAAUAUCUUGUACCUCUCAGUAAAACCCAGAAGGUUUCUCUAUGAGCCCUCAACGCCAGGAUUCGAGCAGUCCACCUACUCACCUGCACCAUUCCUACAGUCUGCGGUACUGUCUUUCUUCAUCUUGACACCAGGAUUCUUACAGCGGCCAAAGCCAUGACUCCCCCUAUGGCUCUAGGAUGUUACCUGACCGUAUCUCAGCAAGCCUUCAAGGGUUUCUGAUCAAGAUUUGCAUCAGGAUUGAAUCCAUCCCCAGCGGAUCAGUUUGACCUGUCUUCUGAACCUUCACCAUUAGAUGAUCUGACGGAGUGGGAGCAGAAUAAUGGCCAGUACGCUGAAUUUGACUUUCAUUGCUCCAUUGGAUGGGUUGGCUGAUUCCGUAGUUGGCUGUCUUUACUCUGCUAGCAAAAAUCCAGCAGUGCUACCUAUGUCAAAAGCAUUCUUAGACAUAGCCCAGGCAAUUGGGACAAAUUGUGGCAUGGGGCUUCACCCACAAAAUUGAAAAUAUAUAUAGGAUCCAAGAACCUGGCUGUUCCUUCCUAUUCAUCCAUCUGCCCCUAACUCCAUGGUCGCUAGGGUCCUCCCCUCCAGAUAUAAGUCUGGGUCCCACAGCUCGCCCCAGGACAAGGAGGGGAGAAUGCUAGACCUCCUGGGGAAGAAAUUCUACUCCCAUGGGGCACUGGGCAUCCAGAUAGCUUUCUAAAGAGUGAUGGAGAGGUAUCUAAUGUACCUGUGGGAUAGGGUUGCCCAUCUAUUCGACCACCUUCCCACCAAGUACAAGGCUCUGGCCAAGGCCACGUAUGUGGAAGGUGCUAGGGUAAAUGGCUCUAGGCACAUCACAAACACUGUCUCCAAUACAAUGGGGUCAGCUGUUUACCACCUUGGCACAUUUGGCUGCAUUCUUCUGCUUGGAGGAUUUGCCCUUCAACGGGGAGAACCUAUUCAACCCCAUAACAGAUUACAUCCUCUGUGCCCUCACAACUCAAUCCCUAGGGAUCUUGUCCCAGCCUGCCUCUCAGUUCUGCAGGUAUAUCCCUCAUUACCCCCUAUAACAACAUUCAUCUUGUUUUGGUUCCCCUGGGGGUUCAAACACCAGCAACGGCCCAUGUUUCCUCAGCAGGGGUCAAGGAGAUUUCAAAAUUCUCAGAGGGGUUGAAAGAGCGGGUGUUUCCCCUCUCCAUCUGAUGCCAAAAAGAAGGCAUGACUAGAGGGGGGUCUCAUUCUUAGACAGACUCUCUGGUUUUGUGGUUUAUUGGGAGUUUAUUACCACUAACAAGUGUAUGCUGAAAAUAUCACCUAAUCUUAUGGAUCUAAUUUACCUUUUCGGAUUGAGAAUUGGACCGAAAGCAACCAUCUACCAUUAGUCUUAUCUGUUAGAAAUACUAGUGUGUGUCCCCCCCCCCCCAAAUUACUUAUAAAAGUCAAACCACUUCAAAGGAACUUUUUAGGAAAAUUCAUUGGUUGCCUAGAAUGGCUUAUCUUUUAUCUUCAACUCUGAGAGAUUUGAUUAUCAGUUUUGAGCCUAGUUCCCUGUCUCUGGGAUGUUCUUUAGAAAUAGUUUCUAAAUUGCACUCGUUAGUGAAGCCUAUCCAACCAAGGUUGGUAUCUGAUCCCAGCUUGUUUGAUUUUGAAUGUGUCUGAUCAAAAAGACACCUGAGCAAGAUUUUUAAGCUUUUUUGUAAUACUAAUGACACUUCUUUUUGGAGAGUCUAUUUACAACAUAAAAAGGCACACCAGUCACUAAUACAAGAGAAGAGAACCCAGUUUAUUAACAAACAAUGGACUAUGUUAUACAAUACCUUAAAAUCUAACGAUAUCAAACAAUUCUGGGCGUUAGCAAAUGGAUUUAUAAGACAUUCAUCUUAUGUAACAGAAUUAUAAUGGUUUGAACAUUAUUCAGAACUCCUCCAUGAUCCCAAAAAAAUCUGACAUAUGAGAGAAUUCACCUGAUGAUAAUCACCUGUCAUGGCCAUCCCCUGAACUAGAUGAAAUCCUUCAACUAGUCCAUCAUCUUAAGAGAAAUAAGGCUCCAGGUAUUGAUGGGAUCCCCGGUGAGGUUCUCCUGGAACAUGCUGAUUGAUGGACUCCCAUAUUAGUGAAGUUAUUUACUUGUAUUAACCAGCAUGGUAUAAUUCCUAAAACUUGGCGAUCAUCGAUUAUAAUGUCAUUCCAUAAGAAAAAGCCCACAAAUAGACCGAAAAAUUAUAGACCUAUUAGCCUUCUCUCUAUUUUGGCAAACUUUAUGCUAAAUAUCUUGAAAGUUAAAAACCUGAAUAAUUGAGAAUAAUAUAUUUGGCCCCAGAACAGGGAGGCUUUAGAGCUGGGAAAUCUACAAUAGAUUAUUGUCUCAUUCUUCUCUUCCUUAUUGACAAGUACAUUAACAAAGGAUGGAAGAAACUGUAUGUUGCAUUCUUGGAUCUGAGCAAUGCUUUCGAUACAGUUUCUAGAAACCUUCUCUGGCUUAAACUGUCUCAUUUGGAUAUGGAACCUUGCCUACUUACACUAAUCCGGAAAAUGUAUAAUAAUACAUCUUGUCAAAUUAAACUGGAUCACUUGGGUUCACUAUGUAAUAUAAUUAAAACUGCAAGGGGGGGGGUUAAGCAGGGCUGCAUGUUGGCCUCGCAUUUGUUUAAUUUAUAUAUAAAUGACUUAUAUGUUUAUCUCAAUACAAUUAAAGGCCACCCUCCCAAAUUAGGUAGCAGCUCCAUUCCACUUUUGUUAUAUUGAUACUUCAAUUUUAUUGCAAACUAGAGUUGGUCUCAAAAGAUACUUUAAAGCUUUCUUAACUAUUGUGACUUGAAUGAAUUAAAAGUUAAUCAUAUAAAAUCUAAAGUUGUCGUAUUUUCGAAACGUUGGCAUCCAUCCUAACAUCUGUUUAGAGCAGGAUAAAUAAUUAAGAAACCUUGGCCUGAUUUUUUUAUUAUAAUUCCAAUUGGUCUUUAGAAAGAUCAUGUUCUGUAACCUCUGGGAAAUCCUUGACUUUGGGCACUGUACAGUUUUAUUAUGUGAAGGACUGCCAAUCAAUGGACGCUGCUUUAAAUAUUUUCCAGGCAAAGAUGAAACCAAAAAUCCUCAAUGGGAUACCUAUAUGGAUUGAAGCUUUUAAUUCAGCAGUUGAACAAAUUCAAUCCUUUUUUUUUUUUUGAGAAGAGUUAAGGGUGUCCCUAGUAGUGUAACAGUCUCCACAUUAUGUCUCAAAUGAAGCUUAUCCCUACUGGAAACUAAGGCCUGGAUUUCCACAGUAAAGUAUUGGCUUAAGAUUCAUUUUAGAACAGAUAAGAAUGAUAUCAUUUCUCAUCUUCUCAAAGAUAAUCAUAUAUCACGGUGGUCCAAAGCAAUGACUACAAAAAUCAGAAGUAUUGUAAUAGAUCUGACCAUGCUGCAAAAUAGUAGCGAACAGUUUAUUCUGUCUCAAAUUAAAGAUAGGCUGAGAGAUCAUGAGCGACAUAUCUUUUACUCAACUAAUAUUGCAGUUUGUUUCCCUCGAGCUUUGGGAAUCACUCCUAAGUAUGGGACCACAGCCAAUUAUCUUGUUUCUGUACUAACUACUGAACAGUGCCGAGCUGUUGCUGGCCCAUUUUAAUAGCUUCCCUUUAGCUGGGACAAUAGGAAGAUACCAACAGGUUCCAAAGCAACAAAGAUAUUGUCAUUGCAGCUCUCUUGAUUCCCUGUCUCAUAUUCUUUUUGACUGCAAUUUAUAUGCUCGAUUAAUUCACCCUCUGUUAUCGCUAAGGAAUAUCCAAAACUCCAAAUAUGGUGUGCAUUUCUUAUUAGAUGAUGUCAUUUCUCAUUAGAGAUGUCAUUUAUACAGUUGCUUUAUGUCUGGGGACUAUUUUAAAACAACUGCAUUUUAUCUGACUACCUGUUCCUGGAUUUUUUUUUACUGUUGAUUUUAUAAAAGGUGAAGAGAGAGAGUGUGCUGAAAAUAAUAAAACUGGGUUACUAUUUGGAA